rnacentral:sRNA from 2 species
AAGGGAAGGCGGGCGUAUUCCAAAUCUGUUUAAAAAACGAACAGAGAAGCACUGGCACUGCGCCAAACCUGACCAAUACUUGAAGUGUUGGCGCGGCGCAUCCCCCCCAAGUGGCGCGCCGAUAAAGGUGCUCAGGGACCGCGUACCUUUGUUUUACUCCUAAUGGUCUUAACCCGGAUUCCCCCCCCAGAACCCGG